GAUGAACGCUGGCGGCGUGCCUAAUACAUGCAAGUCGAGCGAACAGACGAGGAGCUUGCUCCUCUGACGUUAGCGGCGGACGGGUAAGUAACACGUGGAUAACCUACCUAUAAGACUGGGAUAACGUCGGGAAACCGGAGCUAAUACCGGAUAAUAUAGUGAACCGCAUGGUUCAAUAGUGAAAGGCGGUUUUGCUGUCACUGAUAGAUGGAUCCGCGCCGCAUUAGCUAGUUGGUAAGGUAACGGCUUACCAAGGCGACGAUGCGUAGCCGACCUGAGAGGGUGAUCGGCCACACUGGAACUGAGACACGGUCCAGACUCCUACGGGAGGCAGCAGUAGGGAAUUUUCCGCAAUGGGCGAAAGCCUGACGGAGCCACGCCGCGUGCGUGAUGAAGGUCUUCGGAUCGUAAAACUCUGUUAUUAGGGACGAACAAAUGUGUACGUAUCUAUGCACGUCUUGACGGUACCUAAUCAGAAAGCCCCGGCUAACUACGUG
rnacentral:rRNA from 1 species